rnacentral:rRNA from 1 species
CCUACGGGCGGCAGCAGUGAGGUAUAUUGGUCAAUGGGGGAAACCCUGAACCAGCAACGCCGCGUGAGUGAAGACGGUUUUCGGAUUGUAAACCUCUGUCCUCUGGGAAGAUAAUGACGGUAGCAGAGGAGUAAGCUCCGGCUAACUACGUGCCAGCAGGCGCGGUAAUACGUAGGGAGCGAGCGUUGUGCGGAUUUACUGGGGGUAAAGGGUGCGGAGGCGGGUAAGCAAGUCAGAAGUGAAAUCCAUGGGCUUAACCGAUGAACUGCAUUUGAAACUGUUUGUCUUGAGUGAAGUAGAGGUAGGCAGAAUUCCCGGUGUAGCGGUGAAAUGCGUAGAGAUCGGGAGGAACACCAGUGGCGAAGGCGGCCUACUGGGCUUUAACUGACGCUGAAGCACGAAAGCGUGGGUAGCAAACAGGAUUAGAUACCCGUGUAGUC